rnacentral:rRNA from 1 species
AUGGAGAAGGUGGCCAAGGCUAGCAAGGACGCUGGGGCUGGGGUGGCCAGGGUCAGCUUCGGGGAGAACUUCUCGCCGGCGCGGGCCAAGGGGUUCCAUUUCGUGAUGGUGGCCGUGUUCGACAGCGUGGAGGAGCUGGACACUGUGCAGGCGGACGGCAAGGUGGAGGAGGCCAAGGCUGCGCUCAGGCCCAUGCUUGACGAGGUCAUGGUGUUGGACUUCGUCGUCGACGCUGCGGCAGCAGCGGCUACCCUCUGA